rnacentral:rRNA from 1 species
UUUUUUAAUUCAACAUCGAGGUCGUAAUCUUUCUUGUAGAUAUGAACUCUUAAAGAAAAUUACGCUGUUAUCCCUAAAGUAACUUAAUCUUACAAUCUUUAUUAAAGGAUCAUUUAUUUACUCUGAUUAUUUAUCAUUAAAAUAUGAAAAACAGUUACUUAUUAUAUUUUUAUCGCCCCAAUAAAAUAAAUACCAUAAAAAAAAGUUUAAAUUAACUAAUAUCAUUUUUUAAUUUUAUUUAUCAAGUUUUAUAGGGUCUUAUCGUCACUUUAAUUUAUUUAAGCCUUUUUACUUAAAAGUUAAAUUCAAUAAAUUUAGUUGAAGACAGCUUAUUUCUUGUACGACCAUUCAUACAAGCCUCCAAUUAAAAGACUAAUGAUUAUGCUACCUUUGCACGGUCAAAAUACCGCGGCCCUUUAAANNNCAGUGGGCAGGCCAGACU